rnacentral:tRNA from 1 species
GGAGAGGUGGCCGAGUGGUUUAAGGCUCCAGUCUUGAAAACUGGCGUGGGUGCAAGUCCACCGUGAGUUCGAAUCUCACCCUCUCCGCCA